UUUGGUCCUCUGCUUCUCCAAUCCUCUUUCCGCCGACUACCCAACCCUCUUCCCCCUCUGAGCUCUGGGUCUCGGGGCCUGGAUUCGCCAUUUCCAAGACGGGCCAGUUCCAGACCCAGCUAUGCAGCUGCCAGCUGGAUGGCACGGAGUCUCUGAACGAAUGUCAUUCCCGCAUUGAUUUCUUCAAGCAUCACAGGCUUUUCAGGCGCUCCGUCACUUGGGGCCACCUGGCUUGGGCCAGUGGGCUGCAGCGAGACGAUCUGAUUCUGAAGGCGCAGUAGAGAGGAAACGUCAGGACUGCAGUGGAUCCCAGCUCUUCUACCGCCGCUGCUGUGCUGCCUCAGGCUGGUCCCUCACCCUCUCUGUGCCCGGGUUUCCCCACCUGGGCAGUUCAAAGGAUUACAAGGGAUCACAGAGCCCACUCAUGCAUGUCAGGAGGCCACCAGAUUCCACCCUCGGCUCAGGCAGCAUUCGUAUGAAAAUCUAUGCAGUUAAGAACAGGAGGAGGAUGGGGCCCUGACGACCCCCACCUCCCGGCCCGGCCCAGCAACCUCCCGGGGCCUUCUCUGGGGUCCGCCCACCCACGCUCACCGGGGACAGGGACUCCAGACUUCCCACCACGACUGCCCCCGCCAUGCACAGUGCCAGGGGACAAGAGGGGAGCAGGCCAGCAGGGUCACUCCCGGUCUCCCCCGGUGCAGGCUGGACCUCAGUGGGGGCACCAUUAUCUGCCCUGCGCACCCCUGAGCUGGUCCCCCGCAGCUGGCGCACCUGAGUCUCUGGAGCAGUUGAUGCCUGCGGAUCAAACCUUUAAAUGGCAGGUCCGCAGUUUGGGCCUCACUGUUACUGCUCCGUUCACUGUGGUCUGAGUCCCUGAGUGCUGGGGUGUAUCAGCGAGACCCCCAUGCGGUGCAGGCCCACGGUUUCCAACGUCUACUCUAAGCUCCAGUGCAAAUGCCCCCACCCCACCCC